UCCUAGGUGGGAUGGCCGGAGAUUUCGGCAAGUCGGAAUGCCAGAAAAAGACGGGGACAAUCCUCGUGGGGACAGCUGUGCUUGGGCAGAUUGGGGCAUCAUUCAGUAGUGGUGGGCUUCUCCUGGAUUGGUGUGAAUCACUGGGCGUCUGCCACAGAGUAUCUGCGGAAUCGGCUGGUAGUCUUUUGUCACUCAAACCGGUUCACGGGGCCAUGCUUCACUUCGGAUGUGUGACGGCAGAGUCCUUGGUCCCAAGCUGAACAAAUGGGCCCUUAGGCGCAGUCUCAGUGGGCAGCCCCCGAGCGGGUGUGCAUGUGAACCUCUAUCUCCUGUCUUUCUUCUUUGCUUUUUCCAGGAAGUUUCAAACUUGAAAGUGUGUCAAGGAAAUACGCGCUUCACAUCCUGAGCCCCUUCUCUGAGGCGUAGUGGACUUUGGUUAUAUUGCUGGAGGUCUGCUUCCAGCCUGAGCAGCCACUCCCAAUCCCAGUGGACGUGCAGCGAAGAAGGCUUCAGUUGGGGAUGGCUUUGUGUCCCCUAGCUGUGAAUCCGUUGAAGGCUGUACUUCGUCUUUGUACAUGGAAUGAUCGCCUGCUUGAGCUGUCUUGAGGAAUUGGCCUUCCUUCCGUGGGGGAGUUGCAGUGGUUUGCCGGCCGCCUGCCGGGAUGGCAGAUGUCCAUUUCUUCGGAGGGUCAGAGCUUCUGCAGAUCCUGGAAUCAUUGUGUCCUGCUGUGCUCCCCGUCCUGGUGGAUGUCUCCAAAUGCUUGGAGAGUGGAGUCCUGGAGCUCGGUGAUGCGUCCCUGGCUUGUGCGGGGUGCUGGUGGCAUUUCAGGUCAUCCCGUUGCCCACUGCCCAUCAGUCAUCCUGGGGCGUUCCGUUUUCAGGGUUUGGGCAUGUGCUUGGAUCGAUGAUGAGUUUCUCAUAUAAACAUUCCUUGGAAAGCUGAACAAAAUGAGUGAAAACUCACAACCGUCGUUCUCAUCGGUACUGAGGUCCAGCACUUUGCCACUACCACGGCCUGCUGAGUGAUCUUCAAGUUGAACGGGUCCCCAUUCCUCCUAUCUUCCAGGGCACCAGCUUGGAAAGUGUCGCAGGAUACUUGCGUUAGACAA